GGCCCGCACAAGCGGUGGAGCAUGUGGUUUAAUUCGACGCAACGCGAAGAACCUUACCUGGGUUUGACAUGCAUGGGACUGCCUUGGAAACAAGGUUUCUCCUCGGAGCUCAUGUGCAGGUGCUGCAUGGCUGUCGUCAGCUCGUGUCGUGAGAUGUUGGUUAAGUCCCGCAACGAGCGCAACCCCUAUUUUUAGUUGCCUUUUAUGGAACUCUAAAAAGACUGCCGGUUAUAAACCGGAGGAAGGUGGGGAUGACGUCAAGUCAGCAUGCCCCUUACACCCUGGGCUACACACGUGCUACAUUGGGCGAGACAAUGAGAUGCAAAUCUGUGAAGACUAGCU
rnacentral:rRNA from 1 species